UCAUAUCGAAAUUCAUGGAUCUUUUUAAUAAUUUUAGUAUUACAGAUUAAUUAUUCGACCCAAAAAAAAGUAUUACAGAUUAUCCUGCACGUGUGGCUCUGCCGAAAGGGGUACAGGUAAAGCUGGCUUUAGUUGGCACCCAACCAAAUCAUAUUAUCGUCUUUCUUUUUUCCAUCAUUAUUUACAUAAAAUAAAAACUUUAUUCUCUUAGCGAUCAUACUUUCACCAUAUUUUAUUUCUUAGGUUCUGUUAUUUCUCUAGAACAUGCGUGAUGCACCGAUGAACACUCAUAUAAUACACUAUUCUAUUAUAAGGGAUAGUACGCAUUAUCUGCCUACAAAAAUUUCAUUUAAAUAACAAUAUUACUUCAACACAUUCCUAUAUCACUGAUGAUACUAUUGAUUACAACGUUAAUUAUCUAAUUCAAUUCCAUACUUAUUUUCUUGGUACUUUUACAUCAAUGACGGAGAUUAUUUCCAGAGAAAUUUACAUAUAUAUGCGUAUGAAUAUUGCAAUGAAACUGAGAAAUUAUCUGAAAAUUAUAUAUAUAAGAAAAAAGAAAAGAAUAUUGAGGAAAAUUACAGAUUUAUCGCCGGCAGCGAGUGAUGACACUGCAGCCGCGAGAGUACGGGUUGGCUUGUGCGCCACGUCGGCAAUUGUAGUAAGAUGCGCCGCGUCGUGAGCAAGGUACACUGUUUCUCCUCAGCGCACCGUAGCUGAUGUACCUC
rnacentral:lncRNA from 1 species